CGGAGCGUAGCGCAGCCUGGUAGCGCACUUGUCUGGGGGACAAGGGGUCGUGGGUUCGAAUCCCGCCGCUCCGACCA
rnacentral:tRNA from 4 species